UGAUUAGGAGAGCACACCCAGCCGGCAGCAUGUGUUCAGGUGCCCCUCCCCACCAUUGCUCCGUCCUGCAGCUGCUCUUGGGACCAUCCUGCUGGCUGUGCAGUGGGGGAGGGUGCUGAUGUCAGGGCAUCCCCCUCUCCCCCCAGCCCCUGUACCCCAUCUCUGCAGUGCAGAGGGGACACAGCCUGGCUCAGGACUAGGAGCUGCCGGGAAGGGCCGAAUGAAGCACCUGGCAACUAUAAGACUACAAUGACAGAUUAGGUGUUAGGCUGGCAUCUGAGGGGGUCCAGAGCAUUGCUUCAAACUGCUUUACGUGGCUCUCCCAAUAUGGAUUGUAGAUAAUGAUGUCAUCCAGGA